rnacentral:rRNA from 1 species
AACAGGAUUAGAUACCCUGGUAGUCCACGCCGUAAACGAUGUCGACUAGCCGUUGGGUGCCUCGAGCACUUAGUGGCGCAGUUAACGCGAUAAGUCGACCGCCUGGGGAGUACGGCCGCAAGGUUAAAACUCAAAUGAAUUGACGGGGGCCCGCACAAGCGGUGGAGCAUGUGGUUUAAUUCGAUGCAACGCGAAGAACCUUACCUACCCUUGACAUCCUCGGAAUCCGCCGGAGACGGCGGAGUGCCUUCGGGAACCGAGUGACAGGUGCUGCAUGGCUGUCGUCAGCUCGUGUUGUGAAAUGUUGGGUUAAGUCCCGUAACGAGCGCAGCCCCUGUCCCUAUUUGCCAGCGAUUCGGUCGGGAACUCUAGGGAGACUGCCGGUGACAAACCGGAGGAAGGUGGGGACGACGUCAAGUCAUCAUGGCCCUUACGGGUAGGGCUACACACGUGCUACAAUGGCAGGUACAAAGGGUUGCAAGACGGCGACGUGGAGCUAAUCCCAUAAAGCCUGCCUCAGUCCGGAUCGGAGUCUGCAACUCGACUCCGUGAAGUCGGAAUCGCUAGUAAUCGUGAAUCAGAAUGUCACGGUGAAUACGUUCCCGGGCCUUGUACACACCGCCCGUCACACCAUGGGAGUGGACUGCACCAGAAGUGGUUAGCUUAACCUUCGGGAGAGCGAUCACCACGGUGUGGUUCAUGACUGGGGUGAAGUCGUAACAAGGUAACC